ACACCCAUCAAGCCUGGCUUGGUAUUGGGCGUCGGGGAUUCCCCGCGCCCCGAUUUCGCCGGCUGGACGACCCCGAUCUCUCAAGCGUUGUACAAUCUCGCUGGGCAGGCGGGCGGCCACGCCGUUAACCCCAAUCAAACA
rnacentral:misc_RNA from 1 species